AAUCACUGUGAUACAUCAAAUUAAUAGAAGAAAGGGUAAGAACCAUAUGAUCCUGUCAAUAGACGCAGAAAAAGCAUUUGAUAAAAUACAGCAUCCUCCUUUCUUAAUAAAAACCCUCAAGAAAGUUGUGAUAGAAGGAACACACGUUAACAUCAUAAAAGCCAUAUAUGAAAAAUCCACAGCUAAUGUCAUACUCAAU